rnacentral:rRNA from 1 species
GAUGAACGCUAGCGAUAGGCCUAACACAUGCAAGUCGAGGGGCAUCACAUGAAGUAGCAAUACGGAUGGUGGCGACCGGCGCACGGGUGAGUAACACGUAUGCAACCUGCCUUCAACAAGGGGAUAACCCGUUGAAAGACGGACUAAUACCCUAUAACACAGGGGUCCCGCAUGGGAAUAUUUGUUAAAGGACAACCGGUUGAAGAUGGGCAUGCGUUCCAUUAGCUAGUUGGCGGGGUAACGGCCCACCAAGGCAACGAUGGAUAGGGGAACUGAGAGGUUUAUCCCCCACACUGGUACUGAGACACGGACCACGACUCCUACGGGAGGCAGCAGUGAGGAAUAUUGGUCAAUGGACGCAAGUCUGAACCAGCCACGUCGCGUGAAGGAAGACGGCCCUACGGUUGUAAACUUCUUUUAUACGGGAAUAAAUGCCCCACGCGUGGGGUUUUGCAUGUACCGUAUGAAUAAGGAUCGGCUAACUCCGUG